AAAGAACUUGCUUGGAAAUUGUGUCGUGAGGGGAAUGAGGCUGCACAUCAACGUUUGCCUGGUAGAUAUCAUGCAGAUGAUGAGCAGAUGGCGAGAAUUCUGCAAGAAGAGUUUGAUCUAGAAGCGAGACAUAUGCGAGAACAGAAUGUCGUUACUUUGAUUGAAGAACUUAUACCACAGGAUGGAAUUAGGAUAAUUCAGGAUCGUUACAGACAGUCAGUUCCGUAAAUGAAUAGUUUGCA